rnacentral:rRNA from 1 species
GUGAGGAACCUACCUUCUCUGGCUUCGGAGUAUAAUCACCGGGAAAUCUUGUGCUAAUUACCGUGAUAAGCACCAUUACUGGGGAAAUGAUUUAUCCGCACGAAGGAUCGUGCCCUGCGUCAUGAUUAGCUAGUCUCGGUGGGGUAACUGGCCCUACUCUAAGGCGACGAUCAGUAGCUGGUCUGAGAGGAUGAUCAGCCACACUGGGACUGAGACACGGUCCAGAUUCUAUACGGGAGGCAGCAGUUAGGAAUCUUGGACAAUGGGCGCAAGCCUGAUACAGCCAUGCCGCGUGAGUGAUGAAGGCCCUAGGGUUGUAAAGCUCUUUCAGCGGGGAAGAUAAUGACGGUACCCGCAGAAGAAGCCCCGGUAACUUCGUGCCAGCAGCCGCGGUAAUACGAAGGGGGCUAGCGUUGCUCGGAAUCACUGGGCGUAAAGCGCACGUAGGCGGCUUUCUAAGUCAGGGGUCGAAAUCCUGGAGCUCAACUCCAGAACUGCCUUUGAUACUGGGAAGCUCGAGUCCGGAAG